rnacentral:rRNA from 1 species
AGAGUUUGAUCCUGGCUCAGGAUGAACGCUGGCGGCGUGCCUAAUACAUGCAAGUCGAACGGGGGUCCAGCAAGGAUCCUAAUGGCGAACGGGUGAGUAACACGUUGGAAACCUGCCCUGGAGUGAGGGAUACCAGGCCGAAAGGAAUACUAAUACCACAUGAGUAGUCAAGAGAUUAGAAGCUUGACUGAAAGGAGAAAUCCGCUCUGGGAGGGGCCUGCGACCCAUCAGCUAGUUGGUAAGGUAACGGCCUACCAAGGCGAUGACGGGUAGGGGACCUAAGAGGGUGGCCCCCCACAAUGGAACUGAAACACGGUCCAUACACCUACGGGUGGCAGCAGUAGGGAAUAUUGCAUAAUGGGCGAAAGCCUGAUGCAGCAACGCCGCGUGUGCGAUGAAGGCCUUCGGGUUGUAAAGCACUUUUGAUCGGGAAGAGGAAGGACGGUACCGGUCGAAUAAGCCUCGGCUAACUACGUGCCAGCAGCCGCGGUAAAACGUAGGAGGCGAGCGUUAUCCGGAUUUACUGGGUGUAAAGCGCGUGCAGGCGGUUGGCGAAGUUGGGUGUGAAAGCUCCUGGCUCAACUGGGAGAGGUCGCUCAAAACUGGCCGACUAGAGAGCAGUAAGGGAAGGUGGAAUUCCGGGUGUAGUGGUGAAAUGCGUAGAUAUCCGGAGGAACACCAGUGGCGAAGGCGGCCUUCUGGACUGCAUCUGACGCUCAGACGCGAAAGAAAGGGUAGCAAACGGGAUUAGAGACCCCGGUAGUCCUAGCCGUAAACGAUGUGAACUUGGCGCUGGGUGGGUAAAACAGUUCAGUGCCGGAGCAAACGCGAUAAGUUCACCACCUGAGGACUACGGCCGCAAGGUUAAAACUCAAAGGAAUUGACGGGGGCCCGCACAAGCAGCGGAACGUGUGGUUUAAUUCGAUGCUACACGAAGAACCUUACCAGGGCUUGACAUGCACGUGGUAGCGAAGCGAAAACGGAGUCGGAUCCUCGGGGAGCGUGCAACAGGUGCUGCAUGGCUGUCGUCAGCUCGUGUCGUGAGUUGUUCGGUUAAGUCCGCUAACGAGCGCAACCCUCGCCGCGUGUUACAAGUGUCACGCGGGACUGCCAGUCUUAAGCUGGAGGAAGGUGGGGAUGACGUCAAGUCAGCAUGGCCUUUAUGUCCUGGGCUACACACACGCUACAAUGGCCGGUACAAUGGGUCGCGAAGUCGCGAGGCGAAGCAAUUCCACAAAGCCGGUCUCAGUUCAGAUUGCAGGCUGCAACCCGCCUGCAUGAAGACGGAGUUGCUAGUAACCGCAGUCAGCUAUACUGCGGUGAAUACGUUCCCGGGCCUUGUACACACCGCCCGUCACGUCAUGGGAGCUUUUUACACCUGAAGCCGGUAUCCUAACCGUAAGGAGGGAGCCGUCGAGGGUGGGGCUGGUUUUUUGGGACGAAGUCGUAACAAGGUAGCC